UUCGGAUUGUAGGCUGAAACUCGCCUACAUGAAGCUGGAAUUGCUAGUAAUCACAGGUCAGCAUACUGUGGUGAAUACGUUCCCGGGCCUUGUACACACCGCCCGUCACACCAUGAGAGUUGAGAAUACCCGAAGCCCCAUGUCAAAGUGGUCGAAGGUAGGCUUGAUGAUUGGGGUGAAGUCGUAACAAGGUACC
rnacentral:rRNA from 1 species